AUGGGCCUACACCAGUCUUAUCUCCAACGUAUACCUGCUAUAGAUAAGCCUUUUCUCAUCUGCGAUUGGAUUGCAAAUUAGAAUGCAAGUAUAUUAUCGGAUGUAGUUUGUAAAUUGUUGAUGUGUAGUUCAUCUUGUAUACGAGCUUAGAGAUUGUGUCGAUCACGCAUUACUAAUUAUUACGAGUGUAUGGGAAUUUUUAGAUGACAUAUUUGAUCUGAUUCGCGAUUCCGUUAUUGGUUCGAUAUAUCCAAAAAUUGCGGUGUCGGUCAUCCUAUAUAUAACAAAAGUAUUCAACGUGUAGUGUAGAUAUUCGGUGUACGAGUAUUUACCAUUUACCUGAUAGUGAAAACGUCUGGUAGAUUAGCCGUAACAAUGGAUGAUCUAGCGAUUGGAAUAGAUUUAGGUACUACAAACUCUUGUGUGGGUGUUUUUCGCAAUGGAAAAGUUGAAAUUAUCGCGAACGAUCAAGGGAACAGAACGACGCCGAGUUGCGUUGCUUUUACUGAUGAAGAAAUCUUGAUCGGAGAAGCCGCCAAAAAACAAUUUACUAGAAAUCUUCGUAAUACUGUUUACGACGUCAAAAGAUUGAUAGGUCGUAAAUUCGAAGAUUAUGCAGUUCAGGCUGAUAUUAUGCAUUGGCCUUUCCCGGUCGUUAACGAUGAUAACAAUCCCAAAAUCAAAGUUGAACUCGAAGGCACUUCUAAAAAUUACUUACCCGAAGAAAUCUCUUCGAUGGUGUUACGAAAAAUGAAAGAAACAGCCGAAGCUUAUUUGGGCCAAGCAGUUACAAAAGCUGUAAUCACUGUACCAGCUUAUUUCAAUGAUUCUCAAAGAUCGGCUACCGUUGAUGCUGCGAAAAUUGCCGGCCUGAACGUAUUACGCAUCAUAAAUGAACCUACAGCUGCUGCCAUUGCUUACGGUCUCGAAAGAAAAGUCUCCGGCGUGCAAAACGUAUUAAUUUUCGAUCUCGGUGGUGGAACAUUCGAUGUGUCCAUUUUAACCAUUCAAGAUGGUAUUUUCGAAGUGAUUUCAACCGCAGGUGAUACUCAUUUGGGCGGUGAAGAUUUUAAUGACGCGCUGGUUGAUUAUUUCGUGGAAGAAUUCAGACGUAAACAUAAUCAAGAUAUCACCAAAAACAAGAAAGCUCUACGUCGUCUGCGAACUGAUUGCGAAGGAGCGAAGAGAACUUUAUCAUUAGCGAAAGACGACGAUAUCGAAAUCGAGCACAAUGGCAUAGAUUUCUGCAGUUCAAUCUCUCGUGUUCGUUUUGAAGAAUUGAACUCCGAUUACUUUCGAAGAAUAAUGGAACAAGUUGAAAAAGCGAUCGAAGAUGCUGAAAUCGAUAAAAACCAAAUCGACCACGUCGUUUUAGUGGGUGGUUCGUCUCGCAUCCCUAAAAUACAGAAAAUGUUGCAAGAAUUUUUCAACGGAAAGGAAUUAAACAAAUCAAUAAAUCCGGAUGAAGCUGUAGCAUACGGAGCUGCCGUCCAAGCCGCCAUACUAAAUGGCGACGAGUCGAAGGAAGUGCAAGAUAUUGUGUUAUUCGACGUUACACCGUUGUCUUUGGGUACUAGUGUCGGACUCGAAGAUAAAAUGGAUGUGAUAAUUAAACGUAACACUCCGAUUCCAGCUAGAAGAACUGAAAGAUACUUUACAAUGGACGAUAAUCAAACCGAAGUUCUUAUUGACGUUUAUGAAGGUGAAUAUUCUACGAUUAAGAAGAAUCAUUGGCUCGGUGCGUUUUUUCUCACCGAUAUUUCUCCAAGACCCGCUGGCGUAGCUGAAAUUGACGUAACGUUCGAAAUCGAUUCUGAUGGUAUAUUAAAUGUGACUGCUGUUGAAAAUUCGACUGGUAAUACGAAGCAGCUAACCAUAACGUAUGAUAAAGGACGUCUCAGCAAGGAAGAAAUUGAUCGAAUGAUCGAGGAUGCUGAAAAAUUGCGAGCUGAACAAAAAAACCGAAAAGGUGCAUUAGUCGCCAAGUUAGCUUUAGAAUCGUACUGUGUUGAGGUGAAAAGCGCCGUGCAAGAUGAAAAAUUCAGUUAUAAAAUCGAUAUAUUCGAUAAAGACGUGAUUUUGAAAAAAUGUGACGAAACCAUUGUCUGGCUUAAUUCCGUCUUGCCUGCUGAAAAAGAUCUAUUCGAGCAUAAGCUAGCAGAAUUAAGACAAAUAUUCGAUGUGAUCAUUUCAAUAGCCCGCUGCCCUAGUGGAAAAAACGACAAAUAUUGUGAAAUACUAAACGUACCAAAAAAUGCCUCCCAAGAUGAAAUUAAGAAAGCCUAUAGAGAAAAGGCUUCCAAAUAUCAUCCCGAUAAGUACAAAGGAGACAAGGAAGUGGGAAACAUGUACUGGUUGACCUUAGGGAGAGCAAAAGAUUAUCUCAUUGAGCUAGUGGCCGGAGUGUUUCGUAGAAAAAGAAAAAUAAUUUCAUGAAAAUGAUCUUCAGAUUUAAUCAUAGGUAAACCUUACCUAAUCUACUUCACUGGUUUUUUGAUUGUAACGCGAUCUUUUUCAACUUGAGGAUUUUGAAGGUCAUUGGUACGUUUUAUGAGAGGUUCAGAUUUUGUUUGUUGAAUAUAUACAUAUUCAAUUUUGCUAUGUUAUUUUUAUUUUGCUUCAUUUUCACUAAUGUGCUGGUUUUUUCUUUUGUGUUCAAAAUAUGUAUCUAGUAGAUAAUAAUAUGA